CCUACGGGAGGCAGCAGUGGGGGAUAUUGCACAAUGGGGGGAACCCUGAUGCAGCGACGCCGCGUGGGCGAAGAAGCGCCUCGGCGCGUAAAGCCCUGUCAGCAGGGAAGAAAAUGACGGUACCUGACGAAGAAGCCCCGGCUAACUACGUGCCAGCAGCCGCGGUAAUACGUAGGGGGCAAGCGUUUUCCGGAUUUACUGGGUGUAAAGGGGGCGCAGACGGCGAUGCAAGCCAGGAGUGAAAGCCCGGGGCCCAACCCCGGGACUGCUCUUGGAACUGCGUGGCUGGAGUGCAGGAGGGGCAGGCGGAAUUCCUGGUGUAGCGGUGAAAUGCGUAGAUAUCAGGAGGAACACCGGUGGCGAAGGCGGCCUGCUGGACUGCAACUGACGUUGAGGCCCGAAAGCGUGGGGAGCAAACAGGAUUAGAUACCCCAGUAGUC
rnacentral:rRNA from 1 species